rnacentral:rRNA from 1 species
GGAUUAGAUACCCUGGUAGUCCACACCGUAAACGCUGUCUACUAGCUGUGUGUGAUUUUAAAUCGUGCGUAGCGCAGCUAACGCGCUAAGUAGACCGCCUGGGGAGUACGGCCGCAAGGUUAAAACUCAAAUGAAUUGACGGGGGCCCGCACAAGCGGUGGAGCAUGUGGUUUAAUUCGAUGCAACGCGAAGAACCUUACCUACACUUGACAUUCAGAGAACUUACUAGAGAUAGUUUGGUGCCUUCGGGAGCUCUGGGACAGGUGCUGCAUGGCUGUCGUCAGCUCGUGCCG